rnacentral:rRNA from 1 species
AACGAACGCUGGCGGCAUGCCUAACACAUGCAAGUCGAACGAGACCUUCGGGUCUAGUGGCGCACGGGUGCGUAACGCGUGGGAACCUGCCCUUAGGUUCGGAAUAACUCCCCGAAAGGGGUGCUAAUACCGGAUAAUGUCUUCGGACCAAAGAUUUAUCGCCUUUGGAUGGGCCCGCGUUGGAUUAGCUAGUUGGUAGGGUAAAAGCCUACCAAGGCGACGAUCCAUAGCUGGUCUGAGAGGAUGAUCAGCCACACUGGGACUGAGACACGGCCCAGACUCCUACGGGAGGCAGCAGUGGGGAAUAUUGGACAAUGGGCGAAAGACUGGUCCAGCAAUGACGAGUGAGUGAUGAAGGCCUUAGGGUUGUAAAGCUCUUUUACCCGGGAUGAUAAUGACAGUACCGGGAGAAUAAGCUCCGGCUAACUCCGUG